AAUAACCUUUGAAUUUAAAAAUGAAGACAUUGAUUAUUGGCAAGACAUAAACGAUGAAGGACCUUAUUUUCAUAUUGAUGUUAAGAAAAUAUUUGAAAAAUUAACUCAGUUAAUUCGAAUAUUAAAGCCGGGUAAUACUUUAAUUUUUUUUCUUUUGUGUAAUUGGAAAUUGUCAAGAAGAAUGACAAAAUUACCUUAUUGCAGCCGGUGGAACUCCUCUACAUGGUAACUUUUACAGCAC
rnacentral:lncRNA from 1 species